rnacentral:rRNA from 1 species
AUUGAACGCUGGCGGCAGGCCUAACACAUGCAAGUCGAGCGGAUGAAGGGAGCUUGCUCCUGGAUUCAGCGGCGGACGGGUGAGUAAUGCCUAGGAAUCUGCCUGGUAGUGGGGGAUAACGUCCGGAAACGGGCGCUAAUACCACAUACGUCCUGAGGGAGAAAGUGGGGGAUCUUCGGACAUCACGCUAUCAGAUGAGCCUAGGUCGGAUUAGCUAGUUGGUGGGGUAAAGGCCUACCAAGGCGACGAUCCGUAACUGGUCUGAGAGGAUGAUCAGUCACACUGGAACUGAGACACGGUCCAGACUCCUACGGGAGGCAGCAGUGGGGAAUAUUGGACAAUGGGCGAAAGCCUGAUCCAGCCAUGCCGCGUGUGUGAAGAAGGUCUUCGGAUUGUAAAGCACUUUAAGUUGGGAGGAAGGGCAGUAAGUUAAUACCUUGCUGUUUUGACGUUACCAACAGAAUAAGCACCGGCUAACUUCGUG